AUUGAACGCUGGCGGCAUGCUUUACACAUGCAAGUCGAGCGGCAGCGCGGGCUUCGGCCUGGAGGCGAGUGGCGAACGGGUGAGUAAUACAUCGGAACGUGCCCAGUAGUGGGGGAUAGCUCGGCGAAAGCCGGAUUAAUACCGCAUACGACCUGAGGGUGAAAGCGGGGGAUCUUCGGACCUCGCGCUAUUGGAGCGGCCGAUGGCAGAUUAGCUAGUUGGUGGGGUAAAGGCCUACCAAGGCGACGAUCUGUAGCUGGUCUGAGAGGACGACCAGCCACACUGGGACUGAGACACGGCCCAGACUCCUACGGGAGGCAGCAGUGGGGAAUUUUGGACAAUGGGCGAAAGCCUGAUCCAGCAAUGCCGCGUGUGUGAUGAAGGCCUUCGGGUUGUAAAGCACUUUUGGCGGGAACGAAAAGGACUGUGCCAAUACCACGGUUCGAUGACGGUACCCGCAGAAUAAGCACCGGCUAACUACGUG
rnacentral:rRNA from 1 species